rnacentral:rRNA from 1 species
AAAUGUGAAGGGGGUAUGGGCUUUCGUGAUCUCAGGCUAUUUAAUCAAGCUCUUCUGGCCAAACAAGCAUGGCGUUUAUUGGUUUUUCCGGACUCUUUGUGUGCUAAGGUGAUGAAAGCAAAAUAUUAUCCGCAUGGACAUCUUAUUGAUAUGGUCUUCCCGCAAUCGUCAUCGCUUCCGUGGCAAGGUAUUAUGCACGGCCUUGAAUUAUUGAAACAGGGUGUAAUCUAUAGAGUUGUUGAUGGGACCAGUAUAAACAUAUGGAGAGACAAUUGGAUUCCUAGGGAGUCUGGCCUGAAGAUUACUGCCAAGAAAAACAAAACAAGAAUCAAAUGGGUGUCCGAGUUAUUCAGGUCAGAUACUAGGAGGUGGGAGAAUCUGAUCAGGCACCUAUUUCACCCUCAUGAUGCAGAAGAAAUUUUAAAGUCGCACAUGCUGAAUUUGGGUGAGGGAGAUUUUAUUGCCUGGCAUCAUGAGAAAAGUGGCAUGUUUUCAGUUAAGAGUGUGUACAGACUUGCUCAGAACCUCAUGGACUCGAAGGUUAAUCUGGGAAAUUCUAGUGUAGCAGUAAAUGAGGAAAGGAGGAUCUAG